rnacentral:rRNA from 1 species
GACGAACGCUGGCGGCGCGCCUAACACAUGCAAGUCGAACGAGCGAGAGAGAGCUUGCUUUCUCGAGCGAGUGGCGAACGGGUGAGUAACGCGUGAGGAACCUGCCUCAAAGAGGAGGACAACAGUUGGAAACGACUGCUAAUACCGCAUAAGCCCACGGCUCGGCAUCGAGCAGGGGGAAAAGGAGCCAUCCGCUUUGAGAUGGCCUCGCGUCCGAUUAGCUAGUUGGUGGGGUAACGGCCCACCAAGGCGACGAUCGGUAGCCGGACUGAGAGGUUGAACGGCCACAUUGGGACUGAGACACGGCCCAGACUCCUACGGGAGGCAGCAGUGGGGAAUAUUGCACAAUGGGGGAAACCCUGAUGCAGCGACGCCGCGUGGAGGAAGAAGGUCUUCGGAUUGUAAACUCCUGUUGUUGGGGAAGAUAAUGACGGUACCCAACAAGGAAGUGACGGCUAACUACGUG